rnacentral:rRNA from 1 species
UACCAGCACCCCGAGUGGUCGGGACGUUUAUUGGGCCUAAAGCAUCCGUAGCCGGUUCUACAAGUCUUCCGUUAAAUCCACCUGCUUAACAGAUGGGCUGCGGAAGAUACUAUAGAGCUAGGAGGCGGGAGAGGCAAGCGGUACUCGAUGGGUAGGGGUAAAAUCCGUUGAUCCAUUGAAGACCACCAGUGGCAAAGGCGGCUUGCCAGAACGCGCUCGACGGUGAGGGAUGAAAGCUGGGGGAGCAAACCGG